rnacentral:rRNA from 1 species
UUGGGGAGCUCUCCCCAUAAUGGUCCGACCUGCCAGGCGCCGCGAAGUCAACUAGUGAUUACGGGGGCGCAGCAGGCGCGAAAACGCUGACAAUGCGGGAAACCGUGAUAAGGGAACACCGAGUGCCAGCAUCAUAUGCUGGCUGUCCAGAUGUGUAAACUACAUCUGUUAGCAAGGGCCGGGCAAGACCGGUGCCAGCCGCCGCGGUAACACCGGCGGCCCGAGUGGUGACCGUUAUUAUUGGGUCUAAAGGGUCCGUAGCCGGUUUGGUCAGUCCUCCGGGAAAUCUGAUAGCUCAACUAUUAGACUUUCGGGGGAUACUGCCAGGCUUGGAACCGGGAGAGGUAAGAGGUACUACAGGGGUAGGAGUGAAAUCUUGUAAUCCCUGUGAGACCACCUGUGGCGAAGGCGUCUUACCAGAACGGGUUCGACGGUGAGGGACGAAAGCUGGGGGCACGAACCGGAUUAGAUACCCGGGUAGUCCCAGCCGUAAACUAUGCUCGCUAGGUGUCACGGCAUAGGCGCGACCGUGUCUUGGUGCCGCAGUGAAGCCCGUGAAAGCGAGCCACCUGGGAAGUACGGCCGCAAGGCUGAAACUUAAAGGAAUUGGCGGGGGAGCACAACAACGGGUGGAGCCUGCGGUUUAAUUGGACUCAACGCCGGACAACUCACCGGGGACGACAGCAAUAUGUAGGCCAGGCUGAAGACCUUGCCUGAAUCGCUGAGAGGAGGUGCAUGGCCGUCGCCAGUUCGUACUGUGAAGCAUCCUGUUAAGUCAGGCAACGAGCGAGACCCGUGCCCACUGUUACCAGCAUAUCCUCCGGGAUGAUGGGUACUCUGUGGGGACCGCUGAUGUUAAAUCAGAGGAAGGUGCGGGCCACGGUAGGUCAGUAUGCCCCGAAUUUCCCGGGGCUACACGCGGGGCUACAAUGAAUGGGACAAUGGGGUCCCUACCUGAAAAGGUUGGUAAUCUCACAAAACCNAUCCGUAGAUCCGGAAUUGAGGGGCUGUAACUCGCCCUCAUGAAGCUGGGAAUCCGUAGUUAAUUCGGCGUUCAAUAUAGCAGCAGGUGAAUACGUUCCCCUGUCCUUGCAACACACCCGCCCGUCAAACACCACACCCGAGUGAGGUAUCGGGUAAGAGCACGAACGAUUGUUGUUCGUGUUCGAACCUGUGCUUUGCAANGGGGGUAACGGUCGUAACAGUAGCGUAAAUC